rnacentral:rRNA from 1 species
GACGAACGCUGGCGGCGUGCCUAAUACAUGCAAGUCGAGCGAAGCGGCGGACGGGUGAGUAACACGUAAGGAACCUCCCGAUAAGCGGGGGACAACAUUCGGAAACGGGUGCUAUUACCCCUUACUUAUCGAUGGCCUUUCGGUGCAUUAGCUCGUUGGUGGGGUAACGGCCUACCAAGGCAAUGAUGCAUAGCUGACCUGAGAGGGUAAUCGGCCACAUUGGGACUGAGACACGGCCCAAACUCCUACGGGAGGCAGCAGUAGGGAAUCUUCCGCAAUGGGCGCAAGCCUGACGGAGCAACGCCGCGUGAGUGAAGAAGGUUUUCGGAUCGUAAAGCUCUGUUGUAAGAGAAGCGGUAUCUUACCAGGAAGCCCCGGCUAACUACGUGCCAGCAGCCGCGGUAAUAC